rnacentral:rRNA from 1 species
UACGGAGGGUGCAAGCGUUAUCCGGAUUUACUGGGUUUAAAGGGUGCGUAGGUGGUGAGGUAAGUCGGAUGUGAAAUCUCCGAGCUCAACUCGGAAAUGGCAUUGGAAACUACCUUGCUUGAGGGUUGGAGGGGGGACUGGAAUACUUGGUGUAGCAGUGAAAUGCGUAGAUAUCAAGUGGAACACCAGUGGCGAAGGCGAGUCCCUGGACAACUCCUGACACUGAGGCACGAAAGCUAGGGGAGCAAACAGG